UUUAACUAACUAAACGGCUACCAUUAUGGUAUGGGGGCAAACAAAGCGCUUGAAAAUGGAGAAAUGUGUUUUUGAUUGUUCAAUUAAUGUUAAUAGUCAUCCGAACUUGAUUUUUUAUAUUUUGCUUCCUGAUCCAAAAAGAAGAAAAUCGGGGCUUUAUGCUUUAUAUAGAACUGAUUCAUCUUGCAAAAACAAACUUUGGUCGCAAAACAUGUCUAAGUAUGCUCAAAACAUUUUGUAUCUGGCAAGUUUUGUAUUUGAAUCGUCAAAAUAUUUGAGCACAAAUUUUUCUUGAACUUAUUAAGUUUUUUUCGUCUAUAUAUUUUUAUUCAUUAAUAUUAUGUACAAAAAAGUCAUUGCAAUAAAUCUCAAGUUAUUCAAGUCAGUGAACAAAUAAGUACUGACAAUUCGUUGACUGGAGUGGAAGAUGUUAGUGUCUUGAACCAACAUGAAACAACAAGUUAACUUAGCUGAGAAUGAUGGUAGUUUAAAAAUAAUGCAGCAUUGGCUAGGAUUGUUCCUAGGUCACAAAAACAAUCUUACAAAUAGAGAGUUUCUGCUGUUGUCACUGGUUUUAGAGAGUACCUUCGUGAAUGAAGAUAAAAAGUCAUUUAUGUUAUUUUUUAAAAGCCAAGACAUAAUAUUGUUAAUACUCAUACUAUUUACUAAAAAACUUUAUAAAUAUUGUUACGAUGUUAUAAUUCAAGUUGUUGUAAUUAGUAAUUUUGAUCAUUUCAUUAUUAUACUGUAAAAAAUAUUUUUUAUUUAUAACAUUUAUUUCACAUAUAUUAAAAACAUGAGGAAUAAAUAUUACACUGAGGAAAAUUUUAAGCAAAAUAUAGAAUUUUUAAAUGUUAUUAGAAUAUCAAUAUGUAAUA